rnacentral:tRNA from 1 species
GCCGGAGUGGCGGAAUUUGGUAGACGCAACGGACUUAAAAUCCGUCGGUUGUUUACAACUGUGUCGGUUCGAGUCCGACCUCCGGCA